CACCUUUAGGAUUGAAAAAACAAGUUUUGCAUAAAUAUCAAUGGCAAGGAAGGACAAAACCUGCCCUUGUUGAGUUGAUUGCAGGCUACCAGAAUUAAUCACCUCAGAAGAUAAACAAUGUGCAACGGAUAGUUCCGUAAGGAUUCGGAAAAAGCAUUCUGUCAUGUCAUCCCCCUUCAAUAGUCCAUUUUGAUGCAAUUGUAGGAUAUAAUGAGUACAAGCAGCAUCAUUUGCACCCGGAAGUUCACAUAUCCGGUACCAUUCCGCAAAUAGCAUGGAAACCCGCUCGUGCAAAUCAGCAGGAUCUGGUUCCACCGAUUCAGCAUUGUUAUAGUCUUCCCUGCUAAGGAUGGACUGAUUUACAGCCUUUUUAUCUCUAGACUGUCUAGUCUUAUCCUCUUUUCCAACAGUAAUACCAGACAAAACAGCAGAAUUAGCAACAGGAUUCUUGACAAUCUCAAUCAGUUGUUGUAAUGGCUCGGGAGAUCCAGGUUUUGCAGCAAGCUUAGCCAAUGCAUCAACAAGAUUAUGGAGUUCAGAAAUAACUUUGGACUCUUCAAUAACUAGAGCUUGGAUAAGGGAAAUAGCAAACUCGGUUGCACCCUUAUUCCUUCCCCCAUCAAUAAGUUUUGCCAUAUGAACGUUGUACUCUGCCAGAUUGAGCAAUUCACUGCGUAUAAGGCCAAUGGUAAUAUCUUUGUUGAACUUCCGCUCCUCGUCUGAAUAAAUCACCCAGCUAGUGAGUUCUUUAACCACAAGCUUGCAAACAUCACGAAUAGCAGCCAGGAUUGCAAGACAAGCAUUAACAUGAAAAUUGUUUGAUGCAUUUUCAUAUAAACCCUUGAAAACCUUUUGUGCCACAGCUCAAGGCAGCCUCAUCUCGACUGAUGCAUCUAAGUAUGAUUUCAGGAACCUCAGCAAUUACUCCCUGGAUUUCUACUUCUCUAGCAUCACUAUUAACCAAAGCCUCCAACUUUUGUGCUACAAUCUGAUAUUUAUCCAACGCAUCCCUUGUAUUUAAAGAAGGAUCUGAAAUGGCACUUCCAAGUCUAUCAGAAGCAGCUGAUGAAGUUAUUGGUUGUGAAGAAAUUACCGAUUCCUUCAUAGCAUCAGAGGAAUCCCCUGACUGAAGUUCAGGGGCUGGAGCAGUAGACAACAAUGAAGCACUGACAGAAUUGUUUUCGGAAUUUUGCUGGAUAACACCAUCAGUUGCCCCAAUAUGAAUAGAUGACGCACUAAGAAGUACAGCUGAAUUAGAGUCAAUAGCAUCAGAAGCCAAAUCCAAUGUCCGAGAGACUGCUUCAGCUCCUAAAUUGCCUGGAGUAGAUGAGUAGCUUGCAUUAAGUUGUCCUGAACCUGAACCAAAUGCGCUAGCCAGACCAGUAACACCCAAAGAAGAUGAAGAACCUAUAGGAAUAGAAUGUGAGCUCUGGCUAGAUUGGUUUUGCCAUGGAAGCCGAACAAAGUCCUCAUAAACUCGCUGUUGAGAGACAGA
rnacentral:misc_RNA from 1 species